rnacentral:lncRNA from 1 species
CCCGCCGGCCCUGUAGGACCCAGGGGGAUCCACAGCCCAGUUCCCAUUGAUGAUGGACCGGCCCCCAGGGCCACGAAGUGCUGCGGGUCAGAGACUCCACAGCCAUCAGGACGCCUGCCAGAGCCAAGGAUCCCAUCACAGCCGGGGCUCUGGAGAGAGUGAGUGAGAGCACAAAAACAGCCCCACCAUCCCCAGCCAGACCCAGGGACAUGGACAGGUGCCCGAUCAGAUCCUUCAGGCUCUGCUCAGCGCAGCUUGGCAGACCACUCACCACCUGUGCUGUCUCCUGACCCAGCCCCAGGGAGAAGAAAGAAGGCAUGGCGCAGGGGAAGCAGAGGGGCUGGAAGUCAUUCAGGGCUGGGAGUAAGCAGGUGUCUGAAGAGAGUGUCCGGACAACACCUAUAUAGAGAAAAAGGUCAGACAGAAUUGGAAGGAUUAGAGGGAACUGUCCAGAGUGUCCAUGUAGACCAACACUGAGGCUCACGGAGUCGCUACCAGUCCAAGGUCACAUUCAGCAGCAGAGGGAGAACUACACCUCGGCCUCUUGGUGUUAUGAGG